CCUACGGGAGGCAGCAGUGAGGAAUAUUGGUCAAUGGACGCAAGUCUGAACCAGCCAUGCCGCGUGCAGGACGACGGCUCUAUGCGUUGUAAACUGCUUUUGUACGAGGGCAAACGCAGAUUCGCGUAUCUGUCUGAAAGUAUCGUACGAAUAAGGAUCGGCUAACUCCGUGCCAGCAGCCGCGGUAAUACGGAGGAUUCAAGCGUUAUCCGGAUUUAUUGGGUUUAAAGGGUGCGUAGGCGGUCGGUUAAGUCAGAGGGGAAAUCCCGGGGCUCAACUUCGGAAUUGCCGCUGAUACUGGUCGGCUAGAGAGUAGUUGCGGUAGGCGGAAUGUAUGGUGUAGCGGUGAAAUGCUUAGAGAUCAUACAGAACACCGAUUGCGAAGGCAGCUUACCGAGCGAGUUCUGACGUUGAGGCACGAAAGCGUGGGGAGCAAACAGGAUUAGAUACCCGAGUAGUC
rnacentral:rRNA from 1 species